rnacentral:lncRNA from 1 species
UGAAAAGGUUGAUCCAACAAAGGUUGUAAGAACUGCUUUACUGGAUGCUGCUGGGGUGGUCUCCUUGCUAACUACAGCCGAAGCUGUAGUGACAGAAAUUCCUAAAGAAGAGAAGGACCCUGGAAUGGGUUCAAUGGGCGGAAUGGGAGGGGGUAUGGGAGGUGGCAUGUUCUAACUCCUAGAAUAGUGCUUUGCCCUUAUCAAUGAACUGUGACAGGAAGCUCCAGGCAGGUUCCUCACCAAUAACUUCAGAGAAGUCACCUGAAGAAAAUGACUGAAGAGAAGGCUGGCUGAUCACUGUAACCGUCAGUUACUGGUUUCCUUUGACAAUACAUAAUGGUUUACUGCUGUCAUUGUCCACGCCUACAGAUAAUUUAUUUUGUAUUUUUGAAUAAAGACAUUAGUACAUUCCUGAUGCUGGGUGCAGGAGCCAUAUACCAGUGUCCUGCUUUCAACUUAAAUCACUGAGGCAUCUCUACUGUUCUGUCAGCAUCAGGACUGAAGCGCUGUGUCACCACAUGAGAAGUUCAGAAGCAGCCUUUCUGUGGAGGGUGAAAAUGAUUGUGUACAGAGUAGAGAAGUAUCCAAUUAUAUGACAACCUUUGUGUAAUAUAAUUUUGUUUGAAGUUUAAAAAGAA